CAGAGGGUGCAAGCGUUGUUCGGAAUUACUGGGCGUAAAGCGCGCGCAGGCGGAUCCUGUAAGUCGGAAGUGAAAUUUCGGAGCUCAACUCCGAAGCUGCUUCUGAUACUGCGGAUCUGGAGAUCGGUAGAGGUCGGUAGAAUUACAGGUGUAGCGGUGGAAUGCGUAGAUAUCUGUAAGAAUACCCGUGGCGAAGGCGGCCGACUGGGCCGGAUCUGACGCUGAGGCGCGAAAGCGUGAGGAGCAAACAGGAUUAGAUACCCUGGUAGUCCACGCCGUAAACGAUGGGCACUAGGUGCCGGGGGGAGCGACCCCUUCGGUGCCGCAGCUAACGCGAUAAGUGCCCCGCCUGGGGAGUACGGCCGCAAGGCUG
rnacentral:rRNA from 1 species